CAUAUUUAUGGCUCAAAAUAUGGGCAUGACAAUUUUCUCCUAAAAAAAAAUUUCUAGAGUUGGAAGAGUUUUUAAACAACCGAAGCUGGAACAAUUUGGUCUUUCUCUUACCAGUAAUGAGUACAUCCUUUUGGCAAUUUAACUUUCACCGAGAAAGGUAAACUAAUUAUUAAUUAAAUGUUUUUUCAUCUAACAGGCUUUUUACCAGUCUCUUUGUAUUUCCUAGAAAUGUCCUCAGCCGUUUAAUCUAAUUUGAAACCUAAUCAAUAGUUCUCUAUAUUUUAAUAUAAGAAAGAUUUUUUACAUAGCCUUUUUUUUUACCUCAUUUGAAAUACAAAACCAGAGAAAAAAUACCCAUCUUUAUUCAAAUGACUAAUGCAUGCCCAGUUUUUCUUUGACUUAUUUCUUUUAUGUGACCAAUACCAUAUUUUCCAACCUCAUUCUCGUUAUAUUUCAAACCCUUCUUACCAGAGAUUCCCAGUGAGAAACCAUCAUCGUUUUUAGAAGAACCCAAAACCUGGUAAGUAUCUAAUCUUUACCCUAAAUUUUCUUUUCGUUAUUUUUUUUAUCGAUUUUUGAUAUGUUCAUGCAUCAUUUUCGCCUAAAAUAGAUAAGGUAGUUUUAUUUUAGUAAUGUUUUUCCUUGAAUUAUCAAAAAUUUCUAAAUUCCUAAAAUAUUUCUUUUUUGUGAAAAGAAUAUUCAUUCUUGGUUCGAAACUUUGGAAGUUUGAGUUUUUAGAAUAGGAAAACCCAAAAUUGUUGCCUUACCUUUCAAAUCACGAUUGGAACAUCCAAAAACGAUAUUAAAAAUAAACGACGAGAAAAUUAUGUUGUUCAAUGAAAAACUUGACCGAGAAGAAAUUUCUGCUCGAUUUAAACGUUUUAUAGACGAGGUUGCUGGUGGGAAACGUCAUUUUUUGCGAGAUGCAACUUGGUCAAAGUCUCCUAGUUUAACUAAGUAUCCCUUGGCAAGACCUUUAUUUUUACCCGAGGUUACCAUUGCUUUUUCUCCAAGUAAACUAAAAUUUGACAUCAUGUCUUUCCAAAGAGUGUAAGUCCAAACUACCCUAGAAUCCCACAGUCCAAUUUGAGGCUCAGUUGAUUGAAUCUAAAGUCAGGUCAAUUGCCCUGUAUGUGGGUCCAUUUUUAAGGUCUUAUGGCAUCAAGAAUGAGAAUGGAUAUCUUAUUCGCUCAAUUGUACUAGGCGAGUUCAGUCAUAUUCCCCCAACUCGCAUGUCGAAAGAUGAAAGUUGUAGAACUAGCGACUCUUCAAAGAUUGGUGCUUGGAGUGUAGAGCAUAUUAAGGCAUGGAAUGUCCUUCCCCAUAGGCAAUACUUCAAGGAUUUUUAUAAUUAUGUUGAGGUUGUGCCUUUUCAGCUCAUCCCAAAUACUUAUAGGAUAUUGGCAUGCUUGAAGUUGCUCUUUCAUAUCUUAGAGUGGGAGUGUCCGACCCCUUUCGAGAUUAUGGGCUUUUAUGCUCUUAAGGCUUGUCUUGCAAGGAAGAAUUUCUCAGAUGGCUUCUAUUAUUUGGUUUAAAAUAGGCGGGCUGCGAUACUACCUUGUAGUGUCACGACACUUGAAGUUCGAUUUUUGGCAGCAAGCUUCCUAGUGCGACAGUUAAUAAUAUUUUAGUUAUAACUCUUUUAAUAUUUCUCAAAAUUGGACGAUUCAAGAUGUUUUAGAAAUCUGAAAGAAAAAUUUAGAACUUUUAUUCACAUUAUUUUUCUUCAAAGUGAAUGCAUUAUAGUUGAAAAUUUACUUGAAGUUUCAGACUUGAUUUUUGAUCACAAACGGAGCGUGUUGAGCAUCCAAAACUUAGAAUUUUUCACCACUUAUAUCCUAGCACUCCAAAUUCCAUGAUAGUUCAUCAUAUUCAUCUCAUUAGCAUGUUUAUUCUCAUUUUCAAUUCACAUUAUGAAUUUUACCAUUUAAACCUGAAACAAAUAGAAAAUAUUUGUAAUUCUACACAAAAUGAAUAUAAUCAAUUGAAACAUACAUAUAAAAUACUUUAUUAAGUGCACCUAAAACUAACCUAUCAAUUAAUUAUUACGACCAAAUUUUUUUACAAUGUAAGUUAUAUUAUUUAAUACAUAACAAAUGGUUUGUAUUAGCUUGUAUUAUAAUAUUUACAAAAGAUUCGAGGUCAACUCUAAUCUCCGAUUGGGCUUGUGACCCGAACUCAAAUCCAAACUCAAGACCCAGACCCGAACCUGAACUCGGAUGCGGACCAAGACCUAGAUCUGGGACCCAAAUCCACACUCGAACCCGUACUCGGGACUCGGACCCAGGAUGCGGAUGCAGACACAGACGUGGACGCAGACCGAACCUAGACUCGAACCUUGGACCUAGACCCAUACCCGGACCUUGGGCCCAGACCCCAGACUCGAACAUGAGACCUAGACCCGACUCGUAGUCAGUGUUGGGAUCGAGUUUAUUGAAAAUAUUAUAACUUUACACAAUCUAUUAAUACAAAUCAAUACCAAACAUAAUAUUGUAUUAAAUAAUACUAAUACAUUCUAAUCCAACACAAUACAACGUACCAAACAAAACAAGCCCUUAAGCCAUUGUUAGAGAGAAACUUUGAGUUGAGAAGGUUGUAAGAAGGGACUUGGGUUUGGAAAGUUUGAGUUGUGAGAGUUUACUAUUGUUGGAAGAUACUUCUCAACUGUGAUAAUUGUAUUGAUGAUUCUUUUAAAGUGGAUUGCUCUAGAUGAUGAGGCGAAAUUGGAGUAGCAUCAAUAAUAUUUGAUGUAAACCAGUAUAUUUCUUGGCGUUCUAUACAUUUUCUUUCUGCAAUUUAGUUUCUUGAUUUCUUAGUUGCAUCUACUAUUUUCUGAGAUACAUCUCUGCGCUUAACUCUUUUAAUAAACUGACUUUGUUUCAGUAUUUAUAUCUGCAACUUUGUUGUGCUUUAGUUUUGAUUGCAAACAGCGUUGUUGAUUUGCAACAACUUGCUUUGAAAAUGGUCUUAAAAUAGUGUUGAAAUGUAACCUAUAGCAUUAGUAUGUGAAAAUUGUAAACUCAAAGCACUAAAUCGUAUGAGAAAAGACAAUCAUAUAUAAUAUAUGAGAAGAAAUAUCACAGACAAAACAAAAUUAUGGGAAACCAGUUCAUUUUUAUUAAGAAUUAAGAUAAAACAAGCCUCUAAUUAAAUAAUAGCAGUAUUCCAAGUUUGAUAAUGUCAUUCAUUCUACAAACUUUUAAGUUUUAACUCUAUAGUACUUGUUCUUGGGCAAUUAUAAGACAAACCAUUACUAAAAUUUACAAUUAAAAGAAAAAGAAAAAAAAUUAUGAAAAAACUUAUUGGAAAAUUAUACAUGGUUUUACAUAUUUAGUUCAUUCAAGGAGAGGAAGAAGAAGGUGGGUUUUUUGGGCUAGGAGGUGUAGGAAAUGGGAAUGGCAACAAUGGAGGGAAAGGGAAUGGCAACAAUGGAGGUGGUGGUGAUGGAGGUGGUGGUGAAGGAGUAAAACCUGGUACAUUUAUUGGUGGGAAAGGAGGAAACAAUGGCCUUGGAGUUGGUGCUGGUGGAGGCUGAAAUGGGUUAGGAAAGAGUGGAGCUGGAGUUGGUGCUGGUGGGGGCUGGAAUGGGUUGGGAAUAAGAGGAGCUGGAGUUGGAGGGGGCUGAAAUGGGUUUGGAAUGAGUGGAGCUGGAGGGGGUUGGAAUGGGUUUGGGAUGAGUGGGGCUGGAGGAGGCUGGAAUGGGUUGGGAAUGAGUGGAGGUGGCUGGAAUGGGUUUGGGAUAAGUGGUGGCUGGAAUGGAUUUGGUGGGAAGAAAAAACCUGGGGUUGAUUCUUUAGUAUAGGUUUGUUGUUGAUGGGUGUUUAGUGAAGAUUGAAUUGGCUUAGGUUCUGCUUUUUUCUGGGGUCCUGGAAUUAUAGGUGAAACUACUCCUGGGAGAUUUGGUAAAGGUGGUAAAGGAGGGAGAUUUGGUAAUGGUGGGAGGAAAGGGAAUCCAGGAAGUGGAG